rnacentral:sRNA from 1 species
GAACCCGGAAGCAGAGAGGAAGAACCGGAAGUUAGGCGGUAUCACGAGCCUUUAGUUUACUGGGUGGCCGGGCGAUGUCCUGGUUACUGUUCGAUUGUCCACCCUUUCCGACUUAUUUUGGUUUUGCGGUGCUGGGAAGCGAAGCUCUCGGGGAUCAUGGCUGUGCUCUCGCAGCCAGGCAUUGAGUGUCGACAGCUUCCUGUGAGGCCCAGUGCUCAGAGGAAGGCCAGUCUCCAUGCCAGCAGGGCCUGGCUGCAGGAUCUCUCCGGACAUACAACACCCUGCAGUGCAUGCAGAAUAGAACUGGCGGGAACCACCACCGCGGC